GAUGAACGCUGGCGGCGUGCCUAAUACAUGCAAGUCGAACGAGGUGCUUUUGUAGCAAUACGAGAGUAUCCUAGUGGCGAACGGGUGAGUAACGCGUUGGUGACCUACCCCAAAGUGUGGGAUAACAGUCCGAAAGGAUUGCUAAUACCGCAUGUGGUCUUCGGAUUUAGAAACUGAUGACUAAAGGAGCAAUUCGCUUUGGGAGGGACCUGCGUCCCAUCAGCUAGUUGGUGAGGUAAUGGCUCACCAAGGCUACGACGGGUAGGGGACCUGAGAGGGUGACCCCCCCACAAUGGAACUGAAACACGGUCCAUACACCUACGGGUGGCAGCAGUAGGGAAUAUUGCACAAUGGGCGAAAGCCUGAUGCAGCAACGCCGCGUGUGCGAUGAAGGCCUUCGGGUCGUAAAGCACUUUCUGGGAGAUGAGCAAGGACAGUAUCUCAGGAAUAAGUCUCGGCUAACUACGUGCCAGCAGCCGCGGUAAU
rnacentral:rRNA from 1 species